UACGUAGGUGGCAAGCGUUGUCCGGAUUUACUGGGCGUAAAGAGCGCGCAGGCGGUCGUUCAAGUCGCGUGUGAAAGCCCCGGCUCAACUGGGGAGGGUCACGCGAUACUGAUCGACUCGAAGGCAGGAGAGGGAAGUGGAAUUCCCGGUGUAGUGGUGAAAUGCGUAGAUAUCGGGAGGAACACCAGUGGCGAAGGCGACUAACUGGACACGGUAUUGACGCUGAGGUACGAAAGCGUGGGGAGCAAACAGGGA
rnacentral:rRNA from 1 species